ensembl:lncRNA
GAAAGGUUCAAUUUGUUUGUGAAGCAUCACAGCACAGUUGAAAAAUAUAUGGCAAGUAGAAAUCCAAAAUUGAUGAAGUUGAGAGAUAGAUGGGAGAGGUUGAAUGGAGCUGCAGGGUGGGACUAAUAACAAGAUAACCAAUGUAAAACAUAUGGGGUCUGUAAAAUAUACAGGUUCAGAACCUUUGUGAAAUAGCACAGUUACAAAUAGAAAUCAAACUGGAUGGACAUCAGUAAUAGAGAAAGGACUAAAAACAAACACAAUCUAUUUUACAAUAGUUAUUUUUUGUCUGUAAAAUGAGUAUAAGAUAUUUAAACUGAAGGUAGAAGCCUAAGUAUUUAUUGGUUUACUGCAAUUGGGGAACGGUGGCAGGGUUUGCGGGGAAUAAUAAUAAAGGUAUAUUCUUAAAAAAAAAAGUAUGUAUGUCUAUAUAGGUAUGUAUAUGUUUAUUUUAUUUAUUUAUUUUACCUUUAUUUAACCAGGUAGGCAAGUUGAGAACAAGUUCUCAUUUACAAUUGCGACCUGGCCAAGAUAAAGCAAAGCAGUUCGACAGAUACAACGACACAAAUCAAAUCAAAUAGAUUUACACAUGGAGUAAAACAAACGUACAGUCAAUAAUACAGUAUAAACAAGUCUAUAUACAAUGUGAGCAAAUGAGGUGAGAAGGGAGGUAAAGGCAAAAAAGGCCAUGGUGGCAAAGUAAUAUGUAUGUCUAUAUAGGUAUGCUUAUGUAUAUAUGUGUAUAUGUGUAUAUGUAAACUUAUAUAGGUAUGUGUAUGUAUAUAUGUGUUUAUGUAUGUCUAUAUAGGUAUGUGUAUGUAUAUAUAUGUUUAUGUAUGUCUAUAUAGGUAUGUGUAUGUAUAUAUAUGUUUAUGUAUGUCUAUAUAGGUAUGUGUAUGUAUAUAUGUGAAUAUGUAUAUCUAUAUAGGUAUGUGUAUGUAUAUAUAUGUUUAUGUAUGUCUAUAUAGGUAUGUGUAUGUAUAUAUGUGUAUAUGUAUAUCUAUAUAGGUAUGCGUAUGUAUAUACAGUGCCUUGCAAAAGUAUUCGGCCCCCUUGAACUUUGCGACCUUUUGCCACAUUUCAGGCUUCAAACAUAAAGAUAUAAAAUUGUAUUUUUUUGUGAAGAAUCAACAACAAGUGGGACACAAUCAUGAAGUGGAACGACA